UACGUAGGUGACAAGCGUUAUCCGGAAUUACUGGGCGUAAAGCGCACGCAGGCGGCGCGUUAAGUCUGACGUGAAAUCUCCCGGCUUAACUGGGAGGGGUCGUUGGAGACUGAUGUGCUUGAGGCGGUGAGAGGGGUGUAGAAUUCCCGGUGUAGUGGUGGAAUGCGUAGAUAUCGGGAGGAAUACCAGUGGCGAAAGCGGCACCCUGGCACUAGCCCGACGCUCAUGUGCGAAGGCGUGGGGAGCGAACGGG
rnacentral:rRNA from 1 species